rnacentral:misc_RNA from 1 species
AAGCAACUACCUCUAAUGUUUAUCAUGUCUUACAAGGGAGCGAAGGUAUAAGUCCAGUGGCUUUACUUGAAGACUCAACCAUGUAAAUCUAAAUAAAAGAAAAGAAGACUAAUCUGGCAUUAUUAUUAUAAUAGUUACAUGUAAUGGCAUUGCAUGAAAAACACAAGAUUAUACAUGUAGUAAAAUAAUUGAAUUUUUAAUAAAUUUCUCAUAACAUAUACAUGUGGACAUCUUUAAAUCAAAGUUAAUGACAACAUUACUACGCAUAAUUAUAAUGUUUUUAAAGUAUGAAGAAACGGUUGUUAACGUAUUACCAGGUAUCAAGAUUAACGUGCAUUAUGUAUUUGUUUUUGUUUACCAUAGUUACAUGUAUUUGUUUUGAAAAUGGAAAUAUGGGUACAUUCAUUGCAUUUUUAUUUUAAUGCACAUUGUCUUUUUCCAUAUUUUAUUGUAUCAUAUGAUUUAAUUUCUUUUGGUUUCGUGAAAUUUUUGUGUAUAGAUUUUUUAACGAAUAAACCAAACUUAUCUCUUGCUCAAGAGAAACAUAUUUUGUAAUAAAUGAGAGGAUUGCAUUUAUCAAAUGAAUGCUUUAAUGGCAUAGUUUUAUAGUUGAACCAUAUUCUACGAGUAUGGAAUUUAAUAUGUACAAUUUGAAUAAAAUUCUUUAUAUGGCUUUCAAAUAAAUAUGUUGCUGCAUAUCGAG